rnacentral:rRNA from 1 species
UACGAAGGGUGCAAGCGUUACUCGGAAUUACUGGGCGUAAAGCGUGCGUAGGCGGUUUGUUAAGUCCGUUGUGAAAGCCCUGGGCUCAACCUGGGAAUUGCAGUGGAUACUGGCGAGCUAGAGUGCGGUAGAGGAUGGUGGAAUUCCCGGUGUAGCGGUGAAAUGCGCAGAUAUCGGGAGGAACACCAAUGGCGAAAGCAGGUAACUGGACUAUUACUGACACUCAGCUGCGAAAGCUAGGGGAGCAAACAGG